GUAUUUUCGAAUUGAGUUAAUUCGUGAUACGAUUCAGACAAACUAGUUCAAGACAAGUUAAUGAGAAGAAUCCAUCACCACCCGUGACCCAUUAAAGGAGAACACGAGCGGAUCAAAUUCAAACGUUGCACACAAGGUGGAUAUGGAUUGGUUAAAGUGCCAUAAACACUUAUUGUGAAUGAUCCUUCCGCAGGUUCACCUACGGAAA
rnacentral:misc_RNA from 1 species